rnacentral:rRNA from 1 species
UCUGGUGACCAUAGAGCGUUGGAACCACCCGAUCCCAUCCCGAACUCGGAAGUGAAACGAUGCAUCGCCGAUGGUAGUGUGGGGAUUCCCCAUGUGAGAGUANUGAAGACUACGACGUUGAUAGGC